ensembl:lncRNA
CGAUAGCCUCCUGCAAAAGCUGGGGCAGGGAGUGUUCUCACUGGGGAGGCCUCCUUUGCUCACAGGAGGUGCAAAAACAGGCAGUAAGAAGACCUACUUCAAGUCCAGGCUCCACUAACAACCAGAUUCAAAAAGAGAAUUCAUCACUUUCAAACUACUGGUUCAGUAAGAUGUUUUAAUCCUAGCCUGUCCAUCAAAACAUAUAGUGAUUCUAAGAGCCAUCGUGAGCCAUUGAGCAGUACAGACUUUGGAGAAGGAUGUUUGCUGCUGCUGCUGUUAAGUCAUUUCAGUCGUGUCCGACUCUGUGCAACCCCAUAG